rnacentral:rRNA from 1 species
AUACGGGGCUUUAUGUCUUGUAUUGGAAUGAUGGGAAUUUAAACCUCUUCCAGAGUAUCAAUUGGAGGGCAAGUCUGGUGCCAGCAGCCGCGGUAAUUCCAGCUCCAAUAGCGUAUAUUAAAAUUGUUGCAGUUAAAAAGCUCGUAGUUGAAUUUCUGCUGCAUUGCAUUUUCUCCUAUACGAGUUUUUGCAUUGUGGCUUAUUUCGGUUAUAAAAUUUAUUUUUAUUUCCGGAUGUUUACUUUGAGAAAAUUAGAGUGCUCAAAGCAGGCUUUUGCCUUGAAUAGUUUAGCAUGGAAUAAUAAAGUAGGACUUUGGUUCUAUUUUGUUGGUUUUAGGUACCAAAGUAAUGGUUAAUAGGAACAGUUGGGGGCAU